UUAUAAUGCCACCAUUAUUGGAUUUAUUUUUAUCAAGCCUGAAAUAAUAAUUCCUGGGUUUCAGUUUUCUGCCUCUCAGGGUCAGUUUGUAUUUUAUGUUCAGAGGAAUAAAGUGAGCACAUGAAAGGGACUCACUGAGCGCUGAUCCUAACCCUAAUCCCAACCCUGAUGCUAACCCUAAUCCUUACUCUGAUCCUAAUCCUAGGUAUAAAUUUAUAAUUCAGGUAGAAAUUGCUUUGUUUAAAUAUUGCUUUUGUUAUACUGAGAUCUCAAGCCAUGAUGACGAGAAAGCAACUUUUGUUGAGAUAAGUGCCACAGUUGCCAUGACAGCAGCUUAUCUCCAGCCAAGCAUGAGUCACACUCAGGAGGAGG